CUCAGAGCCCCCGCCGGUCUGACAGGUUGCCUCGUCCCCCGAUCCUGCGUCUGCCCCGUGAAUGGCUCUGUGCGGCUCGUCUGCCUUCAGCAGCCCCGCAGGGAGCAGGGAGCACGUGGUCUGGCAGGAUGCUGAGCUGUGGGUGAGGGGCUGAGACUCGAGCCCCACCACGCUGCAGGCCCCCCGUGUCCACGUCUGCGGCACAGCUCACCUGCGCCCACUGUCCCUAAGGUCACCGCGGGUUCACAGUGCUCCAGUGCACGCCCAGGCCUCCGCUACCCAGCCCGGCCCAGCUGCCCACCGUCUUCACCUCAGCCUCUGCACCGUCCACAUCUUAAAAUAACCGGAGUUCACGUCUGCCACCUGCUGUCCCUUCCCACCCCGUGGCCCCCCUCCCCGUAGGGGAGGCAGAGACUGAGAGGGUGACGGGUGAGCCGAGGUCUGAGGCCUCAGUUACCCCAAGGAAGACACGAGGCUGGGCUGUGAGGAGUCCCUGAGUGCUCCUUUCUCCGGGCCUGGGUAAUCCCUCCAGAAAGCAGAGGAGACCUUCAGGUAAGCGAUGAGCUGGCCUGUCACACUGCUGGUAACUUAGGUUUCAGCUCAACUUUUGGACAUGUUUUAAUAAUAGAGCCAUUCUUAACACUAGUAACUGAAAUCUAACUCAUAUUUCAGGUGUCCAUCUACUGCACACACUUGGUAAUACAGGAAAGUAGGUCAAUGUUUACUUACCUAACCUUGGAGAAGGCUCCUGAGAGCUCCUUGAACUGCAAGGAGCUCAAACCAGUCCGUCCUAAAGGAAUUCAGUCCUGAGUAUUCAUUGGAAGGACCAAUGCUCAAGCUGAAGCUCCAAUACUUUGGCCACCUGAUGUGAAGAACUGACUGUUUGGAAAAGACCAUGAUGCUGGGAAAGAUUGAAGGCGGGAGGAGAAGGGGACGACAGAGGAUGAGAUGGUUGGAUGGCAUCACCCACUCGAUGGACAUGAGUUUGAGCAAGCUCCGGGAGUUGGUGAUGGACAGGGAGGCCUGAUGGGCAGCAGUCCACGGGGUUGCAGAGCUGGACGCAACUGAGCGACUGAACUGAACUGAAGCCAGUGUUCAGCUUAGAAAGCGCAGCUUGGAGGUGAAGUCGGCGAGCCCUCUCUUUCUCUGACCUGCUGACUUUGGCUUCUUUUUCAAAAGAGCCUCAGACCCUGCCCCGCCCCCCCCACUGGCUUUGUUGCAAGUGAAUUUUUUCUUAGGAAUUGCAUCCUAGAUGAUGCUCAUUUGUUUUGAACAUUAAUAACAUCCAAAUAUCUGUCUCAUCCCAACACCUGGAAUCCCCUCUAUUAUCUGACUGGUUUAACAGUUCCAGUCUUAUUUUUCUUCAAAGAUGCAAAUACACAACCAAGCUUCCAAUGUGAGAAAUGUGCCCAUAGGACGUAAGGAAAUAGGGGGAGAGGAAGGCAGCAGAGAAGGGAGGGAGGGAAGGAAGAGAGAGGGAGGGAAGAGGGAGGAGGGUGCACAGGACAGCUCGCUAAAACGUGACCAGUGGCCCUGCAUCCACUUUGAUGGGAGGCCCAUCAAGAUGGAUUUAAAAUAUGUAAAUUGGAUUCAGAAGUCAGAAUUCAGUGACAUUAAUGAGUUCGGCUGAAGCUGGAGGAGGUUCAGGAAGUCCGUGGAAGACUCAAGGCAAAGUAGAGAGCUAAAACCACCUUUUGAAGAGGUUUGAAGGAGAAAGCAAUGUGGACUCACUGUGCACCAGCUCCAGGGGGCCAGGCAGUGACCAGGUGGAAGGAGGGGCCCACAGGAGAACGCGCAGAUGAACCUAAGGGCUGAGGAAAGGGAUGCUGUGGGCCGGAGCGCAUGGUGAGAGGGGGAGCAGGGAGGGGGGUACAGCAGAAGAGGAGAGGGCCUGGGAUUGGCUGUGAAGGGGGUGCAGCCUAGGAGCGCCUGGGGUACUUCUCAACUGUCUGCGUUCAAUUCGAUAACUUUCAGUGGAGGCAUCGCACCUUAGCAGACCUCGCAGGGCGAGGUACAUGCUUUGCUUCCUGCGUGCGCGUUUAUACUGGAAGGGCUUAAUUUUACUCAGACUGUGAUGGAAGAAGCCUUCCAACAUGCUGGUUCCUUAGUCCCGGGGCUUGAGACCCUCUCACCACCUGUUGGCUGAGCCACUCUGCCUAAAUAAUACUUACAUUAAUUAAGAUUUAUUAACUGGAUAGCUUAGGAAAAUUAAAAGUAACACACUCUGGCACUUGAAAUUAAUGAGGCAUCGACUGAUUACCUAAAGAAUGAAAUACUAUAGUCAGAUUCAAAAGCCUUUGCUUAGGAUGACUUUCUUCAAAAAGUAUUGGGUUGGAUUUUAUAACUGGUAAAAUGAAAAAAGUUCAUAUGCAUUAAAAUCACCCACGUCAAAAGUACCCAAGGAAGGUCACUUUCCUCCUGGAAGUGGUUCCAUGUCACUGUUGGAUGUUAAAAUGAACGGGACUUAUUGUCCACAAGGCUACAGUUUCUGUCCUUCAGAACACUUAGAUAGGACCCAAUGGUGCUUCUGGAGUCCUAUGUUUAAGAUAAGCACUGUGAGAUAAUACAUAUGGCUAAUUCACAAAGCGGCACAGCAGAGACUAACACUGAAAAGCAAUUAUAUUCCAAUGAACACUUUUUCUGUCUAUAGAUAACCCACCACUUACUGAGGGGCCACUGAAUGGGCACAAACAAAGAAGGCUUCCUAAGGUCACCCUGUGUUAUCAUGAAAUCACACGUGCCUGCCGCCGUCUGUCCCAGGCCAGGAUUUGGACCCAGAUCUGUCUGACUCCAAAACCCUUGAUCUUCCCAGGGCGAUAUACUGUCUUCAGUUUCUAAGCCUUCUUACUCACCAAAUAUUGUGCACUGGACACUGGAGAAGCCUCUGUCGGUGACCUACAGCAUGUUGCCUGUCCUGCUGCUGGCACCUCAUGGAGCUGUCUGGACCCAUUUUCUCUGCUCACAAAGCUCCCAGACUGCUUGACUCUCCACUUCUGAUGUCAGCUUUGCACAGCUUUAUUUUCUGUCAGUGGACGCUGGUUUCCGGCAUCUGGUUGUUCAAAACCCUGUUCCAUCACUUACUACCUAUGCGACUUCAUUCUUCGAAGCCUCCCAUUUUUAUACAUGAAAGGGAGAUGGUACCAUCUCUAGGCCCUCAAUAGUGAUCAAAGGGAGGUGGUAAUAUCUCUAGGCCCUCAAUAGUGAUCAAAGGGAGGUGGUACCAUCUCUAGGCCCUCAAUAGUGAUCAAAGGGAGGUGGUAAUGUCUCUAGGCCCUCAAUAGUGAUCAAAGGGAGGUGGUAAUAUCUCUAGGCCCUCAAUAGUGAUCAAAGGGAGGUGGUACCAUCUCUAGGCCCUCAAUAGUGAUCAAAGGGAGGUGGUACCAUCUCUAGGCCCUCAGUAGUGAUCAAAGGGAGGUGGUAAUAUCUCUAGGCCCUCAAUAGUGAUCAAAGGGAGGUGGUAGUAUCUCUAGGCCCUCAAUAGUGAUCAAAGGGAGGUGGUACCAUCUCUAGGCCCUCAAUAGUGAUCAAAGGGAGGUGGUAAUAUCUCUAGGCCCUCAAUAGUGAUCAAAGGGAGGUGGUACCAUCUCUAGGCCCUCAAUAGUGAUCAAAGGGAGGUGGUAAUGUCUCUAGGCCCUCAAUAGUGAUCAAAGGGAGGUGGUAAUAUCUCUAGGCCCUCAAUAGUGAUCAAGGGAGAAUAAACAUCGACUCACUUAACAGGUCUCUGGAGCAGAGAAGGCAG
ensembl:lncRNA